UUCCGGUUGAUCCUGCCGGACCCCACUGCUAUCGGGAUAGGACUAAGACAUGCUAUUCGAGCGCGUCAGCCAAAACGACGCGCGGCAUACAGCUCAGUAACACGUGGCUAAUCUGCCCUUGGGACGAGAACAAACCCGGGAAACUGGGGCUAAUUCUCGAUAGAUGAAGAACUCUGGAAUGAGUCUUUAUCAAAAAAGAUUUACGUUAUGCUCGUGAAUCCGCCCAAGGAUGAGGCCGCGACCGAUCAGGUUGUUGGUGAGGUAACGGCUCACCAAGCCUUUUACCGGUGCGGGCCGUGGGAGCGGGAGCCCGGAGAUGGGUACUGAGACAAGGACCCAGGCCCUACGGGGCGCAGCAGUCGCGAAACCUUUGCAAUACACGCAAGUGUGACAGGGCUAUCCCGAGUGCCAUCCGCUGAGGAAGGCUUUUACCCAGUAUAGAAAGCUGGGGGAAUAAGGAGAGGGCAAGUCUGGUGUCAGCCGCCGCGGUAAUACCAGCUCUCCGAGUGGUGUGGAUGUUUAUUGGGCCUAAAGCAUCCGUAGCUGGCUAAGUUAGUCCUUUGUUAAAUCCACCGAAUUAAUCGUUGGGUUGCGAGGGAUACUGCUUGGCUAGGGGACGAGAGAGGCAGACGGUAUUUUCGGGGUAGGGGUGAAAUCCUAUAAUCCCGGGAAGACCACCAGUGGCGAAGGCUGUCUGCUAGAACGCGCCCGACGGUGAGGGAUGAAAGCUGGGGUAGCGAACCGGAUUAGAUACCCGGGUAGUCCCAGCUGUAAACGAUGCAGGCUAGGUG
rnacentral:rRNA from 1 species